GAUGAACGCUGGCGGCGUGCUUAACACAUGCAAGUCGAACGAACCUUCGGGUUAGUGGCGGACGGGUGAGUAACGCGUGAGAAUCUGCCCUCAGGAGGGGGAUAACGGCUGGAAACGGCCGCUAAUACCCCAUAUGCCGCGAGGUGAAAUGAAUUUCGCCUGAGGAUGAGCUCGCGUCUGAUUAGCUAGUUGGUGGGGUAAGAGCCUACCAAGGCAUCGAUCAGUAGCUGGUCUGAGAGGAUGAUCAGCCACACUGGGACUGAGACACGGCCCAGACUCCUCCGGGAGGCAGCAGUGGGGAAUUUUCCGCAAUGGGCGCAAGCCUGACGGAGCAACGCCGCGUGAGGGAUGAAGGCCUCUGGGCUGUAAACCUCUUUUAUCAAGGAAGAAGAUCUGACGGUACUUGAUGAAUAAGCCACGGCUAAUUCCGUGCCAGCCGCCGCGGUAAUAC
rnacentral:rRNA from 1 species